rnacentral:tRNA from 1 species
AGUAAAAUAUUUUAAUAAAAAAGUUAGGCUUGCACCUUAAAAUUAGAGAAUGUCUCUUUUUACUA